GACAGAGGGUGCAAACGUUGUUCGGAAUUACUGAGCGUAAAGCGCGUGUAGGCGGCUAAGUAAGUCGGGCGUGAAAUCCCACGGCUCAACCGUGGAAGUGCACUCGAAACUGCAUAGCUAGAGUCCUGGAGAGGAAGGUGGAAUGCUUGGUGUAGAGGUGAAAUUCGUAGAUAUCAAGCGGAACACCGGUGGCGAAGGCGGCCUUCUGGACAGUGACUGACGCUGAGACGCGAAAGCGUGGGGAGCAAACAGG
rnacentral:rRNA from 1 species